rnacentral:rRNA from 1 species
GAGGAAUAUUGGUCAAUGGACGAGAGUCUGAACCAGCCAAGUAGCGUGAAGGAUGACUGCCCUAUGGGUUGUAAACUUCUUUUAUACGGGAAUAAAGUGAGGCACGUGUGCCUUUUUGUAUGUACCGUAUGAAUAAGGAUCGGCUAACUCCGUGCCAGCAGCCGCGGUAAUACGGAGGAUCCGAGCGUUAUCCGGAUUUAUUGGGUUUAAAGGGAGCGUAGGCGGACGCUUAAGUCAGUUGUGAAAGUUUGCGGCUCAACCGUAAAAUUGCAGUUGAUACUGGGUGUCUUGAGUACAGUAGAGGCAGGCGGAAUUCGUGGUGUAGCGGUGAAAUGCUUAGAUAUCACGAAGAACUCCGAUUGCGAAGGCAGCUUGCUGGACUGUAACUGACGCUGAUGCUCGAAAGUGUGGGUAUCAAACAGGAUUAGAUACCCUGGUAGUCCACACAGUAAACGAUGAAUACUCGCUAUUUGCGAUAUACAGUAAGCGGCCAAGCGAAAGCGUUAAGUAUUCCACCUGGGGAGUACGCCGGCAACGGUGAAACUCAAAGGAAUUGACGGGGGCCCGCACAAGCGGAGGAACAUGUGGUUUAAUUCGAUGAUACGCGAGGAACCUUACCCGGGCUUGAAUUGCAACUGAAUGAUGUGGAGACAUGUCAGCCGCAAGGCAGUUGUGAAGGUGCUGCAUGGUUGUCGUCAGCUCGUGCCGUGAGGUGUCGGCUUAAGUGCCAUAACGAGCGCAACCCUUAUCGAUAGUUACCAUCAGGUUAUGCUGGGGACUCUGUCGAGACUGCCGUCGUAAGAUGUGAGGAAGGUGGGGAUGACGUCAAAUCAGCACGGCCCUUACGUCCGGGGCUACACACGUGUUACAAUGGGGGGUACAGAAGGCAGCUACACGGCGACGUGAUGCUAAUCCCGAAAGCCUCUCCCAGUUCGGAUUGGAGUCUGCAACCCGACUCCAUGAAGCUGGAUUCGCUAGUAAUCGCGCAUCAGCCACGGCGCGGUGAAUACGUUCCCG